rnacentral:rRNA from 1 species
GACGAACGCUGGCGGCGUGCUUAACACAUGCAAGUCGAACGGAAAGGCCCUGCUUUUGUGGGGUGCUCGAGUGGCGAACGGGUGAGUAACACGUGAGUAACCUGCCCUUGACUUUGGGAUAACUUCAGGAAACUGGGGCUAAUACCGGAUAGGAGCUCCUGCUGCAUGGUGGGGGUUGGAAAGUUUCGGUGGUUGGGGAUGGACUCGCGGCUUAUCAGCUUGUUGGUGGGGUAGCGGCUUACCAAGGCUUUGACGGGUAGCCGGCCUGAGAGGGUGACCGGCCACAUUGGGACUGAGAUACGGCCCAGACUCCUACGGGAGGCAGCAGUGGGGAAUAUUGCACAAUGGGCGGAAGCCUGAUGCAGCAACGCCGCGUGCGGGAUGACGGCCUUCGGGUUGUAAACCGCUUUCGCCUGUGACGAAGCGUGAGUGACGGUAAUGGGUAAAGAAGCACCGGCUAACUACGUG